CAUGUUCGGGAUGCAAGCACGUGAUAAGCUGCAACAUCAGCAUCCCCAUCUCUUUGGUGGACCUAGAUGGGAUUGACUGGACAGCAUCAGCGCAACGAGCUUCAAAUUGGUGGAUGCUGAUACGGGAUACGGGAAUACUGGAAGUCUGAAGCAAAUAUUUGACCACGAAAAUGGAAACUUGAACUCAAAUCCAUAACACACCAUUCAUUCAUCAAGCUAUUUCUUUUCAAUUUGAAAUCAGCCUACCACCAAUUGUUGAAUUGACAGGAAUGGACGCUCGAGAUUGAAUUUCAGCGAACCACAUUGGAAAGGAGUGGUGAACGUCACCUCUUCGAAGAAAACUGGUGUAAACUUCACGAUACGCAGAGAAAGUUAUUUGGGAUAUCUGGUUGGAUAUAACGUUGUACUGUGGACAUGGCGGAUGCUGCUGAGUGCGGUGUGAAAGUGAUGUGCCGAUUCAGGCCCUUGAACCAACAGAGGAGACAAAUACAUUCCGAAAUUCAAGGGCGAAGAUACGGUGGUAAUAACGAUGUGCUGGGCGAGUACAAUGGAACAAUCUUUGCCUAUGGCCAGACCUCAUCAGGAAAGACCCACACCAUGGAGUAG
rnacentral:lncRNA from 13 species